rnacentral:rRNA from 1 species
AUGGCGGCUGCACGGGCGCACGUGGAGAGGCUCCGGCGGGAGCGGUACUACAUCGGGCGCGGCGGGCAGAACCCGCUGGCGGAGAACAUGCACCAGGCGGAGAACUACCUGAGCCAGGAGCUCUACUCCAAGGACGUCCACUUCCUCAUGGAGCUCGUCCAGAACGCUGAAGACAAUGAGUACCCUGAUGGAGUAGCACCGUCAUUGGAGUUUCUAGUAACAUCAACUGACAUCACUGGAUCUGGUGCAUCGUCAACUUUACUCAUUUUCAACAACGAGAAGGGCUUCUCUCCAUCGAAUAUUCAGUCUAUUUGUGGCGUGGGAAAAUCAACGAAAAAAGGAAACAGGGACAAGGGUUACAUUGGAGAGAAAGGUAUUGGAUUCAAAAGUGUGUUCCUGAUAUCAAGCCAGCCCCAUAUAUUUAGUAAUGGGUAUCAAAUCAAGUUUAAUGAGAAGCCGUGUCCAGAAUGCAAUAUUGGAUACAUUGUCCCAGAGUGGGUUGAAUCCAGGCCUAGCCUUUCAGAUAUCAAACAGAUAUAUGGGUCUACCAGAGUCCUUCCAACAACCUGUAUCGUCCUGCCUUUGAAGGAUGAGAAGGUCACUGCGGUGAAGCAGCAGCUUUCGAGCUUGCAUCCAGAAAUGCUACUGUUUCUGUCAAAGAUCAGGCGGCUUUCUGUCCGUGAAGAUAACGGCAACGCUAGAGGCAGCACUGUUAGUGAGAUUGCAAUAUCGAGUGAGAAGAACUUUGAAGUGAGGAAGAACAUGCAUGCGGAGUCUUACACGGUCUUUUUAUCUGCUCAAGAGAAUGAGAGUGAAGCAGAGUGCGGGUACCAUAUGUGGAGGUAG